UACGUUUUAAUUUGCAUAGGGACAGUAUAUUUGAAGAUGUGUGUGAUAAGGAUGAUUGCCGUUAUAAUUAUCAUUGAAUUCUAAUCACCAAUCAGUGUCAUCAAAGGAAUUUACAAAAAUUGACUGGACACUUCAUUGAUGAGCUUAUCCUAAAACACCUAUCUGUAGAUGGACUGGUUUUUUAUGAGCCAACCGGUUAAACUCCGCCCAGUCAAGUGAAAUAAA
rnacentral:lncRNA from 1 species